rnacentral:lncRNA from 1 species
AAAAAUAUGACCAGAAAAAACUUAAAUGAUCGUCGAUUUUCCCAAAAAUUUUGAAGUUGCACAUAGGAAGUAGAGCACAUUAGGAAUCCUUAUGUAGUUUAUUAUCCCCUAAGCUUUUGGCUAAGAAGUCAAAGAACAAAUGUAUGAAAUAUUUAAUCGCCGAAUAUCUCUAAAGACAAGUAGUUAAGAUUUCCCAAAUUGCAAAAGUCGUAGGAAUAUUGUUUGUCGUCAAUACGUAGUCAACUACGUCAGUAGUCUAUUAAUAUAAGUUCAACUGAUCACGCUGUUGGCGGCAAUUUUGAAUUAGAAGACAAAAUUUUCGUAUUUUUUCAAUUUGGACGCAGGGGUUCAAAUUAGCGGUGGUCCGAGGUCUGCGACCUUCCACUUUUGCAGUCGGACUUUCUACUUGGUUACUAGCAACGCCCGA